ACGCUCGACACCUACGGGGGGCAGCAGUGGGGAAUAUUGCACAAUGGGGGAAACCCUGAUGCAGCGACGCCGCGUGAAGGAAGAAGUAUCUCGGUAUGUAAACUUCUAUCAGCAGGGAAGAAAAUGACGGUACCUGACUAAGAAGCCCCGGCUAACUACGUGCCGGCAGCCGCGGUAAUCUGAGCGGGCUGGCAAGGC
rnacentral:rRNA from 1 species